CGGCGGGCCCGCGGUACCUCCUGCACUCUGACCUGCGGCCCGUAGGUCCGAGCCGGGGACGGUGGCGUCGAUGGGUCAUGCUCCGGCACUCCCCCUCGCUGUGGGAGCUGGUGGAGGAGCACGUUCCGCUCCGGGAGCGACCCGAAGUGAAGAGGAUUCUGGGGGAGGCGGCGGUGGACCUGAGCCUGGAGCUGCGGGCGGAGGUGGGGAGAGGGAAGGUGGGCCACGCCCCUGGCCUGCCCCACGACUCGGGUUUUCCCACCUCCUGCGGGUCCCUGGCCCUGCCGGGUAACUCCCGAGAUCCUAUCCUGGUCUCCCCUUUGACUCCGCCCUCUCCCUCACUCCCCCAGCCCCCACCAUUCCGGUCACUCCCCUCCCCAGUCGCAAGGUAUCCCAGCUCUCCUUGCAGGUGGCGAUGUUACGGGCACUGCUCCAAGAGGCUCGAUCCUCUCAAGCCCCCAGCUCCCGCCCCAUCUCUGACCCCUCUUCUCUUCUGGCACCACCGCCUCUCCUAAAGGACCUCUUGCGCCAGGAGCUCCGGCAGUUGCUCCAGGGUCUCCGCCACAAAGCCAUCUGUGAGGGCAGGGACCAGGCCCAAGCUUGGGUCCAGUAUAGCCCCAGGGUCCUGCACUUUGCCUUGGAGGAGCCCAGGUGUGAUUUGCCAGAACAGGAGAUAUUCCAGAUGAGAGGUGGUGGGCCCAGCGGUCACAGAGAUCUCAGCAUCAUCAAGGACCAACUGAACGUGUCCAACAUUGACCAGGUGGCCAGACACCUGAGGGGCCUUCUGGAGGAGGAGUGUCACACCUUGGAGAGGGAGAUCCUCAUCCUGCAGCGCUGCCUGGAAGAGGAGUAUAUGAGGCCUUGCCACCCCUCUGAGGCAGCCCUGGAGCCCACCCUGGCAGAGCUAAAGGAACAGAAGAAGGCCAUGGAGCAGGAGCUGCAGGCAUCUGUGGGGCCUUCUUGUGUCUCUCCCAACCACAG
rnacentral:sRNA from 1 species